CCUACGGGAGGCAGCAGUGGGGAAUAUUGCACAAUGGGGGAAACCCUGAUGCAGCGACGCCGCGUGAGUGAAGAAGUAUUUCGGUACGUAAAGCUCUAUCAGCAGGGAAGAAAAUGACGGUACCUGACUAAGAAGCCCCGGCUAACUACGUGCCAGCAGCCGCGGUAAUACGUAGGGGGCAAGCGUUAUCCGGAUUUACUGGGUGUAAAGGGAGCGUAGACGGCAGCGCAAGUCUGGAGUGAAAUCCCAUGGCUUAACCAUGGAACUGCUUUGGAAACUGUGCAGCUAGAGUGCAGGAGAGGUAAGCGGAAUUCCUAGUGGAGCGGUGAAAUGCGUAGAUAUUAGGAGGAACACCAGUGGCGAAGGCGGCUUACUGGACUGUAACUGACGUUGAGGCUCGAAAGCGUGGGGAGCAAACAGGAUUAGAUACCCGGGUAGUC
rnacentral:rRNA from 1 species